AACGAGAUUCCCACUGUCCCUAACUACUAUCUAGCGAAACCACAGCCAAGGGAACGGGCUUGGCAAAAUCAGCGGGGAAAGAAGACCCUGUUGAGCUUGACUCUAGUCUGACUUUGUGAAGAGACAUGAGAGGUGUAGCAUAAGUGGGAGUUUUGGGAUCCCUCUUGAUUACAGUUUCGGCUGUAGUUGAGACCCCUUAACAAUCAUGAAAUACCACUACUCUCAUCGUUUCUUUACUUACACGGUGAAAAGGAAAUCGGGAUAGUGUCUCUCUCUUCUGGACUUCGGUUCAGUAGCAGGAGGCCACCUAUCUCUAAAUUCUAGAGCCAAAUGUAGUUCCAUCCAUAUAUGCUCAAGACACCUAAUUGAAUCUUGUUCUUCAGGACUUGGUUGAAUUAAAGACUUGGGUUUGGUUGGUAGCCAAUGUGUAUCAGCAAUGAUACACAUAACCGCAUGAUCCUCGCCGUGGACAUUGUCAGGCGGGCAGUUUGACUGGGGCGGUACAUCUGUCAAAAGGUAACGCAGGUGUCCUAAGGC
rnacentral:rRNA from 1 species